AUUGAACGCUGGCGGCAGGCCUAACACAUGCAAGUCGAGCGGACGAAGGGAGCUUGUUCCUGGAUUAAGCGGCGGACGGGUGAGUAAUGCCUAGGAAUCUGCCUGGCAGUGGGGGAUAACGUCCGUAAACGGGCGCUAAUACAGCAUACGUUAUGAUGGAGAAAGUGGGGGAUCUUUGGACAUCACGCUAUCUGCUGCGCCUAGGUCGGCUUAGCUAGCUGGUGGGGUAAAGGGCUACUAAGGCGACGAUCCGUAACUGGUCGGAGAGGAUGAUCAGUCACACUGGAACUGAGACACGGUCCAGACUCCUACGGGAGGCAGCAGUAGGGAAUAUUGGACAAUGGGCGAAAGCCUGAUCCAGCCAUGCCGCGUGUGUGAAGAAGGUCUUCGGAUUGUAAAGCACUUUAAGUUGGGAGGAACAGCAGUAAGUUAAGACCUUGCUGUUUUGACGUUACCAACAGAAUAAGCACCGGCUAACUUCGUG
rnacentral:rRNA from 1 species